rnacentral:rRNA from 1 species
AUGGAGGGAGAGAAACAACUAGUUUGGCAUGGGAAGAAUUCAGAGUUCUCCAUGUACGAUUACGAACAGGUACAAGACGCCACAAAUAAUUUUUCAGACGGAAACAAACUUGGACUAGGUGGCUUUGGCACUGUCUACAAGGGCCAGUUUCGUGAGGGAUUGGAGAUAGCAGUAAAGAGACUGGCUUCACAUUCAGGACAAGGUUUCAUAGAGUUCAAAAAUGAAGUCCAACUCAUAGCCAAACUGCAGCACACGAAUUUGGUUAGGCUCUUGGGAUGUUGCUCUCAAGAAGAUGAGAAAAUAUUGAUAUAUGAGUACUUGCCAAACAAAAGCUUGGAUUUCUUCAUCUUUGAUGAAAAUAAAAGAGCUUUGUUGGAUUGGUCCCAACUUGUAGCAAUAAUCGAAGGAGUGGCACAUGGACUUCUUUACUUACAUAAGCACUCCCAGUUGCGUGUCAUACAUAGAGAUCUUAAGACAAGCAACAUUCUCUUGGACAGUGAGAUGAAUCCAAAAAUUUCAGAUUUCGGGCUAGCAAAAAUAUUUGACUCAAAUAAGCCAGAAGGGAACAAUACAAGGAGAGUGGUUGGCACAUAUGGCUAUAUGGCUCCUGAGUAUGCUGCAGAAGGUAUCUUAUCUAUUAAAUCCGAUGUCUUCAGCUUUGGUGUUGUCGUUCUUGAGAUCCUUAGCGGAAAGCGGAAUUCUGGUAGCAAACAGUGUGGAGAUUUCAUCAAUCUUCUUGGAUAUGCAUGGCAAUUAUGGGAAGAGGAAAGAUGGAUUGAUCUCAUCCAUGUGUCAUUGGUUCCUGAGAGUCACUCAACAAAGCUGAUGAGGUGCAUGAAUAUAGCAUUGCUUUGUGUACAAGAGAAUGUAGCUGAUCGACCAACCAUGCCAGAUAUUGUUGGAAUGCUAAGCAGUGAGACAAUGAUCAUAACUCAGCCUAAGCAACCAGCAUAUUUCAAUGUAAGGGUUGGAAAUGAAGAGGCCCUGACUCCACUUGAGUCAUGCAGUAUUAAUGAUAUGAUAGUCAUGUCAUGUGUUUUUUACUGCCCGGUGAAGUAUUCAUGA